UUCCGGUUGAUCCUGCCGGACCUUACUGCUAUCGGAGUGGGACUAAGACAUGCGAGUCGAGCGUCUCUAGCUAUGUUGAGACGCGGCAGACGGCUCAGUAACACGUGGCUAACCUACCCUCAGGACGAGGACAAACCCGGGAAACUGGGGCUAAUACUCGAUAGGUGAGAAUGUCUGGAAUGAUUUCUCACUCAAAGGGCCUUGGGAACAUGCUUCCAAUGUCGCCUGGGGAUGGGGCCGCGUCCGAUCAGGUUGUUGAUGAGGUAACGGCUCACCAAGCCUAUAACCGGUACGGGCCGUGAGAGCGGUAGCCCGGAGAUGGGUACUGAGACAAGGACCCAGGCCCUACGGGGCGCAGCAGUCGCGAAAACUCCGCAAUGCACGAAAGUGUGACGGGGCUACCCCGAGUGCCAUCCGCUGAGGGUGGCUUUUCUUUGGUAUAACUAGCCGAGGGAAUAAGGAGAGGGCAAGACUGGUGUCAGCCGCCGCGGUAAUACCAGCUCUCCGAGUGGUAAGGAUGAUUAUUGGGCUUAAAGCGUCCGUAGCCGGCUUAGCAAGUCUCCUGUUAAAUUCAGCGACCUAAUCGUUGAGCCGCGGGAGAUACUACUAUGCUAGGAGGCGGGAGAGGUCGACGGUACUUCUGGGGUAGGGGUGAAAUCCUAUAAUCCCAGGAGGACCACCAGUGGCGAAGGCUGUCGACUAGAACGCGCUCGACGGUGAGGGACGAAAGCUGGGGGAGCGAACCGGAUUAGAUACCCGGGUAGUCCCAGCCGUAAACGAUGCGGGCUAUGUGUUGGGAUGGCUACGUGCCAUUUCAGUGCCGCAGGGAAGCCAUUAAGCCCGCCGCCUGGGGAGUACGGCCGCAAGGCUGAACUUAAAGGAAUUGGCGGGGGAGCACCACAAGGCGUGAAGCUUGCGGUUCAAUUGGAAUCAACGCCGGU
rnacentral:rRNA from 1 species